UACGUAGGUGGCAAGCGUUGUCCGGAUUUACUGGGCGUAAAGAGCGCGCAGGCGGUCGUUCAAGUCGCGUGUGAAAGCCCCCGGCUCAACUGGGGAGGGUCACGCGAUACUGAUCGACUGGAAGGCAGGAGAGGGUAGUGGAAUUCCCGGUGUAGUGGUGAAAUGCGUAGAUAUCGGGAGGAACACCAGUGGCGAAGGCGACUACCUGGCCUGUGCUUGACGCUGAGGCGCGAAAGCUAGGGGAGCAAACGGG
rnacentral:rRNA from 1 species